AUCCUUUUGUAGAUCAUCAACUUGAUGAUUGGGUGUUCACACUUCUGUGUGACAUGUGCCUCCCUCAAACCUUGUUAUAAUGUUGGCACAUUACCCAUCUGACA